AUGCCGCGGUGAAUACGUUCCCGGGCCUUGUACACACCGCCCGUCACACCACGGGAGUUUGCAACACCCGAAGUCGGUGAGGUAACCGCAAGGAGCCAGCCGCCGAAGUGGGGUAGAUGACUGGGGUGAAGUCGUAACAAGGUAUCCGUACCGGAAGGUGCGGAUGGAUCACCUCCUUUCU
rnacentral:rRNA from 2 species